UGAUCAGAUACAAUCCGGCGGUGGCAUUGGGAAUGUCCAUCACAACCUGCCAACAUUCCAGGUUAUGUUGACGGGUCGUGAUGGGCACUCUCAGCGUCUCAUGUCACAAAAACGCAGAC
rnacentral:pre_miRNA from 1 species